rnacentral:lncRNA from 1 species
GUGGUUUGCGUUGUAAGUCAGUGUCUCAAGUGUCUCCAGUGUCUUUGUGGAUUUUGGAUUUUUGGUUCAGUUGGAUUUUGCCUCUUGUGUUUUUUGGGAUUUUUGAGUUGGACAUUUGGAAAGUAAGUUUUUGUUGUUUUUAGUGCCUUUGAAAUAAAUCUGUUUUCAUUCUGCAUUUUGGGUCCUUCCCUUUUUUUUGUUUUACUGUAGGGUUGUGAUUCUUUUCACUGUUACAGGGUUUUGACUAUAUACAAUAAAGUAUUUUACAAAGCUGAGUACUUGUAAAGUACACAUACAGUGAUUCAUCUUUGAACUUGUUCUGUCUUACCUACGAAUAACAUUUUAUGCAUUCUUCUUCAAAAGACUUGAGGCAAAACACUGAUUUCAGCUUUUCAUUUGGUUAUGUCCCCCACAGCUCAUAUGAACAACUCACUUAAUGUCUAACAGGAGCCAUGACUUGUGGUGGUUCAGCACAAAUAGCAAAAGCUGCAGCCUUCAAACAAGCAAUUCAGCACUGAGGUAUGCAAACUAACGAUAAGGUAUGAGUUCCAAUAAGAGUGCAAUGCAUGGGAAGUACAGCGGGUAAUGGGCUGAAACAAAAUCAGUGCAGUCACUUUAGAUGCAAACAGCAGGCAAACAGAAGGAGAGCGAACGGUUAAUGCGACUUCAAACAGUCUGAUGAGACACAACUCUUGCCAUAACAGCGUCCAUGAGCACGCUUAUUCCCUACAAUUCACUGCAGCAUUAGUGCCAUUACAAUAUAAAGGUGUUAAUGGCAUAGAUAAUUUGAUUGUUUAGAUGUAUUAAAGUAGCAUCCAGAGGGUACAUGGGGACAUUUCCAUAUGCAGAGGUGAUUUUUAUAGCUGGAGUACAAGCAAUGACAGCCAGAAAAGCUCCAGCACUGUACAGACUGAUGGGUCUCUUUCUAUUUCUCUCUGGUGUCAUUGUAGGGACAGCUUUGAUGUUCAAUUUUUAAAUGUGCCAAUGUCAAUCGACUGACACCCAAAGGUGAGCCAGAGUGGCAUCAAAUGAUGACAGUAUGAGGAUCUCAAUCAUUAACUGCAAGAAUCAAUAAGGAAGAGAAUCUAUAUUAAAGUCAUUAAAACUGACUUAGUACGCAGUAAAUUCAGUCUGGAUUUGACUAAAGCUGCUUUGAAAUGUAAGGAUAUUAAAGGAAGACUCGAGGUAUAAUACAUUCACAUUUCCAGCAUACCUCCCUUCACAGUCUCAGGUCUUUUUUAAAACCUAUUUUUACUCCACAAACAUUAUAGAACAAACCUAAAACAAAGAGGAGGAGGUUAUAUAACUGCACUUGUUUUUUUAUAGACUCUGCUGUGAACACAGUUUUAAAAGAGGAAUAUUUCAGUAUUGAUCAUUUUUAUUACACAUACCUAUGUAACCAUGUUGUUUGCUGAAUAAAUGCAAGUGUUCAUGUCGUCCAUUUUGGGGACUGCAGUCAAAAACAAACAGGUGAAAACUCGACAAAAACACGUCAGAAGAAAUUAGUUUGAAAAAAGAAAAAAAAGAAAACUACAACUAACUCAAUUUCUGGCAUUGCUUUUAUCACUGGUACUCAUCCAGCAAACUCGUAUGUUAAAAUACACACAGACUGUGCAAGUCGAGGCUGUUUCUGACCUAAUUUUUGGGUUGCAUGACUGAUUUCGAGGUCAGGCUUCAUUGCAUGUCAUUUGCCAUGCAGUUUAAAGGGGAGCAUUGGGGUAGAUUGCACACAGACAUGCUGCUUCUGCCUGAUGGGAUGAAAUUCUGGUAUGACAGAACUUUUAGUCAGCCUCAAAUUCACUAUUGUGAUUUUUUCCCCCAAACUGCAUCUGUGUAAAAUGGUAGACAGCAUCUGAAUGCAUCAUGGAAACAUACAGUACUGUGUGGGAACAAAUAGCAACCACCCGUAACCCUUUAAGCAGAUAAUGUUUCCUUUCUUGACAAGGAGUAAGAAAUAUUCCCAUACUUAAUGUAGCAGAUGUGAAUGCUUAGUUUAACCCUGUAUUAUACAAGAAGUAUAGCUCUGUUUGGAAUUAGUUGUGUGCGUAAGAGUGCAUGGAAGGGCAAGGAAGUGACAAAAGGUGAGCAGUCGAGUUUGUGCAAAGAUAAUAAAGCGUGCAACUUCUCAAAAAUAUGCUGCAAGUAAAGUGAGAGGGAGUUAACCACAGAGUUAGUAUCAACUAGAGCACAGGAGCAGACCAGUAAGACUCCUGUGUGCUUUCUGACUAAGGUCGGGACGCAAAAGCAGGAAAGAUUAACACCUCAUUAAAGUAAUGACCAAAAUACCAUACCUUUAAAACUAAAAACUGAAAGAGAUAAGCUCAAAGAGGAACUAACUACAAAGACCGAAAGUGCCAGUUUAGCUCCUAGUUGUUUGUCCUCUGUCCUGAUUUCCCAAGUAUACUGUGAGCACUCAGCUCACACUUAAAAAAUGAACUUUAGCACUUUUGGUACAUUUUAGUCACCCAAAAAAAAUGGUUCACAUUCCAUAUUCAGCAUCUUAACACUGCCACUAAAUGCAGAGGGGGUAUUUCAUUGUGAAACAAACUGUCACUUUGCUGUGCAAGGCAGACCAGGCUGACAGAGCACACUGCAGAAUGUAAAGGAAGUCAUGGCGGGGACACCGUUUGAACCUUUACUUCUCUCAUAGCCCGCUAAAAAUGGUGCAACUUGUCUUCAGGAAUUAGCAGCACUUGCGAGCUAUAGUUGUGUAUUGUAAACCAUUUAUUCUGCUUUUCUGCCACACCAUUCAUAGAAUUGCAUGUUGUAUGUCUGGAGACUGACUCAAAUGACUAUUAUAUCCAGCUAUAGGAUAAAUAUAGUAUUUACUUUUACAGUUAAAACGGGGAUAGCCACUGUUGAGUUGUUAAGUCAUGAUGGUUUUGAUUUACUCCUGAAGAAAAAAGACAGAAAGUCUUAUUCUUUUUUGACCUCUUUUAUCCUGCAAAUACUUUCCCACUUUAUUGCAACUGUAAAAACAUAGUAUCACUGUCAGACAUGAGCAUUUAGUCCUGAGGUAGCUGGUAGCUGUAAAAGGCAGCAAAAAUAAAUAUAGUUUCUGCUGUAGCUGCUUUUCUGCUUUGCUGUAGAGAUCAUGGGAAAACGCUGGUAUUGAUUUUAGUCUGAGUCAUGGCCGGCUUAAAAAAGAAAAAUCCUCACUUAAACUUACCUGUACAUGAGUAUUCAGUUUUAGACAAAUAUUUAGUCUUAUCCACUACUUUUCAAAAACUUUCCGUACAGUUUCAAAACUGACGCUUAGGGGGGCUUUGUCUCCCACUCACUGAUGGUGAGGGAAUCAUUUCAGCAUGGGAUCAACUAUGUGUGUCUAAUUGUUCCUUAUUAAGACCAGGUGUGGGAAGCUCAUACCCUCGGGUGCCAGUGCUCCAUGCUGACUCAUUAUCUCACCAUCAGAGGUAUCAAGUGGAUUUUUUAGUGUUUGUUCUUGUUGCGUAGGGGUGUCGGCAGAGGCACCACUAAAACCUCUCUGGUACCAGGCGAGUCUUUUCUAGCUUCUUGUGUUUCUCUGUCCCAAGGCAUCCCUGGCUUUUUGUGUUUUAGUUCAGGGGCUUAUACUUGGUCUCCCUUAAAGUUUAGUUUCCAGUCAGCUGCUCAGCAGGGGUAGUUUGGAUAGUUUAGUUUAGUUCCCACUCCUCUUGACUUCAGAAGUGUAUUCUACGAUUCAGCGCUGCAGCUUUUUCACUCAUAAGGAAAUAUUGUGAAGCCCUUUCAUAAUCAAGUUUGGUGCUGAUAAUGUCUAUUUCUGUCCUCACCUCUCUUUCUAAAGACAUUUGACACUGAUUUCAACUUAAACAAGUGAUUCAGGUAUUCCAUAUAUAAUGUUUGGUUAUGUCAGUGAAGUUUCCUUUGUUUUUAGCAUAUUCAUGUCAUUUCAUGUCAUGUCUUUCCUGUUUUAUUUUGAAAUCACUAAACCCUGUCUCUGUUUCUAGAUUUGCACCCCUGUCAUGUCACACCUGCAUCCUGAUUGUCUCUCCCCACCUGUUUCCCAUCACCCUCAUUGCCUCGUGUAUUUAACCUCAUGUCUCUCGCUG